CUCAGGUGUUGAUGCCCCUGCUCAGAGAGCACAAUACCCACCCAGCCCUGGGCAGGGCUGGUUUGUCUGCUGGGACCUGCAAGCUGUGGCUUAUCCUCCAGGGCUUCACCGAGGAGACUUCCUUGGGUUUAUAAAUGACUGCAUUUCCCUUCGGCAUGACAGCUGCAGCUUCACCUCUUCUCGUGUGAACCUGGAGUCAGCUUCUUGUCCCAUCGAGUGCCUGGGUGGGUGCCUGAAGGUGGUGACAGAUUCCUGCUGCCUGGGGCUGCCGUGUCCUUGCCCUCUGGAGAAAGGCAGCUCAGCUCUCUAUCCUGCCCUUCCACCCCUGCUGCCAACAGGAAUAAUCACACCUGUGCUCACGCGGAUCCAUCUGCUGCUUCAUCCUGCCUCGACCAUGGCAAGUCCCAGAUGUGCUCGUGGAUGAUGUUGGGUGCCCAUAAGGGAAGAGGGGAUUUCUCCCUCACCCCCAGGCCAGCUUUUUGAGAUGAGCUCAUGUCCCCUUUGAAGCUCUGAAACAAAUUGCUCUGUUUGUUGCCCUGUUGAAAACUUGGCCAGAAGUCAUUGGCUUUCCUUCUGAAGUACAAUGGUUUAUCAUCUCCAUAUUCCUUUUGUUCUGUUGGCAUAGUUUAGAGAAUUUUUUAUUAUUCAUAUUUAUGCAUUGCUUCUUGGAAGCCUGUGGGGAAGACAAGAUAGAGAAAUCAUACUUGAAAGAAAAAGCUGUCAAGCUUAAUCUGCUGCAUUUCUCAUUUUCUGGAAUGGUGGGAAGAAAUCUUUGCGAGGCAGUUGUUUGGACAGUCUGAUCCAGCUUUAGAAACCCUGGCACGUUUAUGUUUGACUAUAUAAAAGGUAUGGGUGCAUGUGAGGGCUAUAAAUCCAGGUAAGUGGGGAAUUCAGACCCAUGGUUUGCCAGGUGACAGCAGCAGAAGACACAAAUAAGCCUGAGGUGAGGAGGCUGUGCCCACAGGUGCCCCAACAGGCAGGAGCUGGGAGCAGACACAAAGCCACAGCAUCAUUGAUCACAUCAUAUUUACAGGUUUAAUAUAGCUGGUUUGUGUCUACAGUGAGAAAAACACGAUUUUGGAUAGCAGUAGUGUUUUGUCUGCCUGAGUGAUUAGUGUUUCACUUAGCACUCUGUUAAACUGCCUGCCAGAUCCAUAAAGGAUGCAAGCUGGUGUGUCAUAUCUCUCUCCAAGACCCGUUAGGAUAUUUAUUUAAUCAGAGGGCGAGGGAAAUGUGCUAAGCACCUCAACGAGCAGUGUGAUCAUACUGGGGAAGCAAGGAAAGUGCUUUGAUGUCUGUGGGGGUGAGUUGGUUUGUUUCAAUCUUCAUCAUGGGGUGAAUCUGAGUUUGUUGGACUCUUAGAGCAUCCAAAGCGUUGCAAUGGGAGCAGGCUCAUGCAGGGCUUGGCUGACUUGCUGGAAUUGAGUUCUUCCCUUCCCAGUGAAGGAAAUUAGAGCGUAGGUUGGCAUCCACCUGCAGUGGCCCUGACCAGCAGGAAUUGCUGAUCCCCCAGUGCAUCCCAUGGGAUGUGCUCACUCUUUCACUGCUGCUCUCACCCAGAAAUAAAACUCCACACACUCUUGCA
ensembl:lncRNA